CAGCAAGACUGAUGUCAGAGGUCAGUGUGAUAACUCCUCGACAGGAAACGUCUCGCUGCUGAAGCCACAGAGGUGCACGAGAUAUUUAAUCUACUUCAAAAUCUGAUCGUGUAAUUUAUUCUACCUCUCAAAAAAAAAAAAAAAAAAAAAAAAGGGCUUUUGUUGCCUGUUGCGUUCAGCAUCUAGAGGGUCGGUCCUAGUUCAUAUGGUGUGCACAGGUUGUUCUUAACGCACGGCUGUAACUGUAAGCCGCAUUGAACAGAUGUCCCCAUUGAAGGCUUUCUUCUCCUACACACAUGGGCUAUAUUACCAUCAUGAAAUCAAACUCAAAACCUGUCCCUUUCGCCACCAUAAUGACCGAGUUAUUCUGGGCCGCUGAGCACGAACAAAGUGUGUUCAAUAUUGCGUGCUCCAGAAUCACUCCGCUUAGAGAGCUGGGGAGAAAGGAGUCAAGGCAGAAAUGCAGAAAUAUACUUUAAUGUGGAGAUUUACAAAACGGCGUUAUAAUCUCGAAGAACUGUCCUAUCAAAGAUUUUUCUGGAGGAAAACCGAAGGAGGUUGGAAAGAGCAGAUGUCCGUCUGCACUGUGAGCUGCCAAGUGGGUCCGGAGCGGGGCAGCCACAGACACAAGGGCCCAAAUGGUGUGACAAAAGAUGUGCAGGAAGCCCCUCUUCGCCUGGGUGAGCCACAGAGAGGGUCUCUCCCCUCUCUGCCAGCCUGCAGGGACACUCACAACACGAGCCAGAGUGGUGGCAGCAAAGCCAUGUGUUACCGGCUGGGAUGCAUGGAAUCAGAAAGGCAGCCUAUCACUGAGAAAAUGUCUCAUCUCCCCCUGCAAACAAGAGCAGGAUAAUGGGCCUCUGGGAGCAUGUUCUUAGAAAUCACAGCAGUCUGUGACAACUGAUGUAAAUAAUUUAAAUGUCCUCAGCCUCUCAGGUUUGGAGUCUUUUCAUGAUAGAAGCUAUAUAGCAUUUUAUGUGGCUCCAGUUAAAUCUGUGUAGGCCUAUACAUGAAAUAGUUCUACAGCAAAGCAAAUGUAAUUUCAAUAUUUUCGUCGUGGGAAAAGAAUCAUUGGCAUGCUGUGGGAAAGUAUUUCAAUUUCAUUGUAAAGACAAAACAAAUUGCUGAUGUGAGUGUUGUAUUGAAUUGAAAUUGUAGGGGGCUGGUUGACAUACAGAUGGGGUAAAUUAAAUGGGGGAGUGCGCAACUUGCCAUUUCUCACUGCCUUGUAAUGACACCUGUUUUAAGAAUGACCGCUCCUCAUCUGUAGCAAAAAGUGACAGUCCGAACAAGUGCUCUCGAAUGUCUUAUGUGGCCUCACUUAUCAGCCCCCGUACUGUAAACAUUUCAUUUCCUCACCCUGUCAGAAAUGUCUUUGUUGCUGGUUGUUGCUCGGGCUUUAAUCUGAAAGACAAAGUCAGCCAGAUAGCUCCCCCGCUUUCUAUUUGUCUUUUGCUUCCUCCUCUCUCAUCUCUUGUGACAACCUUGUCUUUAGAGCUACUUAAGUUCGUGUUCCAGUAUUUCUUGCCCUUUAUUGAGAGUGUAAAGGUCCUUUAAAAUGUGUUCUUUUAAGUGGCUCACUGUUUGUCUCUUUGUCAAUCUGAGGUUACAGUGCUGAUGUUUAUCUCCCAGUCAACAAUGGAUUACAUUACCACAAACAUUGUCACAUACCUUCAGUCAGACAGGGAUUUUUUUUUUCAUAUUUUCUCCUGUGAGGAUAGCUGUGCAAAUUAAACACUGCUAUGAUUUCACCGUCUCUGGGCAGACGGCCAGAGCUCGGUCGUGAGUUAUUGCAGCAGCAGAAGCCUUUUAUGUGAGUCAAUUCUCGUCUCUGUGGAAAUCUACCUGUUUUUACAAGUCAUCUCCUCUGAGAAACACCUGUACUGAGCAACAGGCUCAUUGUUUUCCUCUCAGCUACAUCGUAAAGAUUGAGAGACGAGAGAGACAACACCAGGCAGGUUUGCUGAAUCACUCAUCCUUCCUGGCGCCACUCGGCUGACUGAAGAGUUCCUGUCAGAAACACUCCAUCAUGACUGAUGUUGGACUAGAGAUCUUGUAACCUGUUAGUACCAUUAUAUUGGGCUGUUUUUGCCUCACAGGAAACAUACGCUCAUCUUUGGGAACCAUUACAAUAUAAAGUCACUUUGAUUGAUGAUUGCUAAAUUACCAUUUCUUUCAUUAAUCAAUGGGUUAUGUGGCAAAAUACAAAUGAUUUAUCUAUCAAUUGAACACUUUGGUAAAUGGGAAUUUAACAGAUUGAUAGGAGCGGGUAGAUCUGUGCACACACUUUGAAUAAAUAUAUUAAAAUUGCAUAUA